rnacentral:lncRNA from 1 species
AAGUCAUUGAGUAGGUAUUCUAAAAUGUCCCUUCAUUUCGCAUACAUUUCACAAAAGCUAAUCGGUGUACAGGAUGAUUUAUGGCAGGCUGUGGACUGCAAAAGGCCGAGUCCUUAUGAGUUAAACUCUCAUCUAUAGGUAAAAAGCUGAUUUAACCUUCUUGUUUUUUCUUUGCCAAACAAAAGUAAGUAUGCAUAUUGCAUGGCCUCGGCUCUUCACAGAGUGUAGCAUAUUCUCCCGCAAGCCCUUUAUGUUGCAGGUUUUACGUCUAAACUAUUAUACACUACACAAUCUCUUUUUCACAGUUCAAUGGAGUAUGUGGCCUAAAGCUAAUUUUGAAAUUUUUGUUUUGUUUUUUUUCAGCCCCCAUGGGACUUUUUUCAGCCCCCAUAGGACACGAAAACUGGAAAGAAGUUUAUCCUCUAUUUUACUUGUGGAUGUGACUAUAGCAUGAAGGUGAAAUUAUGUUUCUAUUUUGUACAUCAUUAUAAUAAGAAGUUCAUCUUAUGUUACUCUUGUGGACAUUUCAUUUUCAUUUUUUUGAAUUGCAAAGAAUUUCAUACUUCUUCUUUACCCCGUAAUGUGGACUAAUUUUGUUCAGAACUUGUCGGGCUGUUGAUGUUCAAGUUGAACUAACAUAUGGAAAAUUUGGAAAAUGGUGAUUUGAUAAGAGAUCAUACCUUGAUGGACCCACCUCAAAAUCUUUUCUUACCCCCUUCUCGUGUUUCUAAGAGUGUUGUACGUGCUGCACCUUUAUAUUCUUCGUACAUUAUUCAAUUCGUUCGGUUCUACAUCUAUUUGUUUAUUAAUUAAAUCAUAUUUACUAGAUCUUUAAAUUGGGAGGUAUAUAAUAGGAAAUUUUCCUUAUUCUUCUUAAAGAAUGGGUGAACUUCUUAGCAUGAAAUGCGCAUAUACUUUUGCACUAAUUUCUUAAUGUCAUUUCAUUCUUCGGGAUGUACAAAUCCACCUUUUCCUCUUUGCUUAGGAAGUUUACGCCAUGUGUUCCAAUCUGGUGCCAAUAUGAUAUGUUUAAGGAUUAUAUUAGUACUUGAUAAUAAAAAUUCUAGACUUUAUUCUGCCGGAAUGUAAAAGAAUCCUUGGGAGGCUCGGAAGGAAAAAUGUUGNGUGUGUGAGAUGAGAAUUGAACGGUAAAAUUAAAGCAAAGCGACAAUGUUUUGCUCCUAAUAGCAAAGGCAAAAAUAUGAAAAAUAAACGAAAAUGGAAUGGAUCACUGUUAUAGCAAUGGUAAACUUCACAUUAAUAGAGCAUCAUCAAGGAAAAAAGGGAAAUAAAAAGAAAAGGUGAGUAAUAAUGGAUGGCUUCUCAUCUGACGAAGAUAUGGAGGUAGGUGAUCAACCACAAAUCCUGUGCAUUUAAUAAUUUGUUUAUGCAGGCUGAUAAAAUUGAAAGUUUGCUGAAAUCAUCCAACAACUGAUAAGUAAUGUAUUAGUUUUGAUACUCUUUUAACAAUUUCCAAGAUUUGCAAGUCAUGUUCUUUAUCAUGUUUUAUUUAUAGAAGCAAGGUGAUCUAAAGCUUCAUGUAUGAGCUUUGGAGUCUGAAAGAGCUUUCCAACAUGUUGCAUCUAUUCAAAGUACAGUUGGAUGUGUAAGGCAGCUUCAUAUCUAGUUAGAAGUCGACCCAACAAGGCCUUUUCCAUACCUGUCUAGCAAUUAAUAUCAAUGCCAUCUUUCUCUUCUUUAUUUAUGUUUUGUCAAACUGCAAUUUUUUGAGCUUAACUUCUGUCUAAAUUAUUUUCAUUUCUUUGUGCUUUCUUCUGUUGUUAGAUGAGAGGGAAAGCAUAAAACUUGUAUUAUUUGCCUUCUUUUUCCAGCAACUUGAUUUCCUUAUUCUACAUGUAAAAUAAUUCCUUAUUUUCAUGUUCUCAUGUAAAAAU